GCAGUGGUGGUUCAGUGGUAAAAUUCUUGCCUUCCAUGUAGGAGACCAGGGUUCGAUUCCCGACCAUGCA
rnacentral:tRNA from 1 species